UACGUAGGGGGCAAGCGUUAUCCGGAUUUACUGGGUGUAAAGGGAGCGUAGACGGCAUGGCAAGCCAGAUGUGAAAUACCGGGGCUGAACCCCGGGACUGCAUUUGGAACUGUUAAGCUGGAGUGUCGGAGAGGCAGGCGGAAUUCCUAGUGUAGCGGUGAAAUGCGUAGAUAUUAGGAGGAACACCAGUGGCGAAGGCGGCCUGCUGGACGAUAACUGACGUUGAGGCUCGAAAGCGUGGGGAGCAAACAGG
rnacentral:rRNA from 1 species